rnacentral:tRNA from 1 species
GCGCCCGUAGCUCAGUUGGAUAGAGCGACCGCCUCCUAAGCGGUAGGCCGGAGGUUCGACUCCUCUCGGGCGUG